CCCUUAGAUGUCCUGGGCCGCACGCGCGCUACACUGAGUGUCUGAGAUACGAGUCUGCCUGGUCCGGCAAGGUCUAGGUAAUCGCUAAAAGACACAUCAUGCUUGGGAUAGAUUAUUGCAAAUAUUAAUCUUGAACGAGGAAUUCCCAGUAAGCGCAAGUCAACAGCUUGCGUUGAUUACGUCCCUGCUCUUUGUACACACCGCCCGUCGCUACUACUGAUUGGAUGUUUAAGCGAGGUUCUCGAACUGCUAGCGACUUAGCUUCGGUGAGGUCGCAGUGUGGGAAGUGAACCUAGCUUUGGUGUCUAGAGGAAGUAAAAGUCGUAACA
rnacentral:rRNA from 1 species